GUGCCAGCAGCCGCGGUAAUACGUAGGGUGCGAGCGUUGUCCGGAAUUAUUGGGCGUAAAGAGCUCGUAGGCGGUGUGUCGCGUCGGCCGUGAAAACCUGCAGCUUAACUGUGGGCGUGCGGUCGAUACGGGCAUCACUGGAGUUCGGCAGGGGAGACUGGAAUUCCUGGUGUAGCGGUGAAAUGCGCAGAUAUCAGGAGGAACACCGGGUGGGCGAAGGCGGGUCUCUGGGCCGAUACUGACGCUGAGGAGCGAAAGCGUGGGGAGCGAACAGGAUUAGAUACCCUGGUAGUCC
rnacentral:rRNA from 1 species